rnacentral:rRNA from 1 species
UACAGAGGUCUCAAGCGUUGUUCGGAUUCAUUGGGCGUAAAGGGUGCGUAGGUGGCUCUGUAAGUCAGGUGUGAAAUUUCGGAGCUUAACUCCGAAACUGCAUUUGAUACUGCGGUGCUUGAGGACUGGAGAGGAGACUGGAAUUCACGGUGUAGCGGUGAAAUGCGUAGAGAUCGUGAGGAAGACCAGUGGCGAAGGCGGGUCUCUGGACAGUUCCUGACACUGAGGCACGAAGGCCAGGGGAGCAAACGGG